GGGUCGGUGGCGUAGUUGGUUAUCGCAUCUGUCUAACACCAUGUGAUCUUCAUCAGAUCACGUGAUUGACCACAGAAGGUCCUCAGUUCGAACCUGGGCCGACUCA